UACGUAGGAGACGAGCGUUGUCCGGAAUUACUGGGCGUAAAGCGCGCGCAGGCGGUCCUUUAAGUCUGAUGUGAAAGCCCACGGCUCAACCGUGGAGGGUCAUUGGAAACUGGGGGACUUGAGUACAGAAGAGAAGAGUGGAAUUCCACGUGUAGCGGUGAAAUGCGUAGAGAUGUGGAGGAACACCAGUGGCGAAGGCGACUCUUUGGUCUGUAACUGACGCUGAGGCGCGAAAGCGUGGGGAGCAAACAGG
rnacentral:rRNA from 1 species